rnacentral:rRNA from 1 species
UACGAAGGGGGCUAGCGUUGCUCGGAAUCACUGGGCGUAAAGGGGGCGUAGGCGGGUCUUUAAGUCAGGGGUGAAAUCCUGGAGCUCAACUCCAGAACUGCCUUUGAUACUGAGGAUCUUGAGUUCGGGAGAGGUGAGUGGAACUGCGAGUGUAGAGGUGAAAUUCGUAGAUAUUCGCAAGAACACCAGUGGCGAAGGCGGCUCACUGGCCCGAUACUGACGCUGAGGCACGAAAGCGUGGGGAGCAAACAGG